rnacentral:lncRNA from 1 species
CCACAAUCCUCAGAUGCAUCACACCGUAAGCCACACACAAUGGAUCUACAAGUGACGCGGAUUAUGUUUUUCCUUUGGAUAUUCGUAAUCUUUAGGAAAGGAGGUGAAGUGAACUGCACCGGAUGCCACUAUUUCAGCUCGUACUCGUACUUAUAAAUGUACUUAAGUUAGACUGGUUUGGAGCCCUCUGCUUCUGCCAAAACAUGAACAUGUGUUUGGCUGAUAUGAGCACAAGAAAAUCGUUCGAGGAGCUCGAAAGUAAAGUUCUGGACCGCUCAGAAUAUUGGUUCGGAUUAAAUGGAUAUGAGAAAUUGGAUUUUAAAUAUGUGCCCACCAACUCACCCAAAACUACAUGCCACCUCAAUCUGAACUUGAAUUCUAUUCCUCGUGCGGCUUCCUACAUCCCAUGGGCAGUGAUUCCUACAGCAUAAAGACAGCAAAUUGUGCGCAUCAUAAAAGAUUUGUAUGCACCCCCUCUUACAUCUGCAAUGGGCUUAAAACAAACAGCACCUCAGUGAACCACUUUGCUAAGGAAUUGCAAUUGACCUGCCACAUCAGCGAUAAUGCACAUUGUAUACUUGAUGUUUGAAGCCCGCACCAGCCUUUCGAUACAAUUUCUUCACUUCAUCAGCCUCAUCUAAAAACCAUAAUCAUCUUGUCACAAUUUUCAUUGUCGUCCAUGCCCGGCAACCUAAAUCUAAAUCCCAAAGUCUAAAAAAGUCAAUACAAAAGUGCUAUAAAACCGCAAAGUUAAAGAAGAAUUCAAAAUGGGAGAAAACUUCAGGUUGGGGCGCUAUAUGUUGAGCAACGUAAAUAUCAUUACCGCGUCCGACUCCAAAAUGAACGUUGUGCAAUUCAAUUCUGUCAGUGUGGCAACGCCGUGGUGGCAGUCAGCCGCCAUCUGACGGCAGACCUUUCUGUGAUGUAGAGUUCAUGUAAGAAGCAUGUAAAAUGUGGAAUUUUAGUGUCAUGUAAUGUCAUACGAGAACCGUUAAAACACAAAUGACUUGCCUCUGAAAUAGUUCAAUCUUAUCGAAAAUGGCUUCAUUUAUUGGAUCAAAUGUUUUGUUUUUGUGGCUCGUCAUGGAAAAGCUACCAGAGUAUAGCUACAAAUGUGGCAAUUAGGUAUAUUUUUUCAUUGUCUCCAGCUUAUAGUUGUACAGAAUCCAUCUCAACAGUUUCAUACUCGGCAGAUGUCAGAUGUAAUACUCACCACGGACGUAGAUGACUG